rnacentral:lncRNA from 1 species
CUGACUAGGUCAGACUUUGCCCAUGUCUCCAAAGUCAGUCAAGGUUUCAAUUUGGCCAGUUUUUGGGAAUUCAGGGAGGGGUUAGACAAAGUCCCUACUCCUUGAAGAAUUCACCUUCUAACAGAGAGACCAAAACUUAAAAAAGAAAAGUUAAUUUCAGGUACUGAUGGGAACCACCUUGAAAAUAGAAUGUGGCUACGUUACAGAUGUGAUAAGGAUGAAGGGGUGGAAGAAGUCAUACAGAUGUGUGCGCGCAGGGAAGGCCUGAGGAUGUGGUGGUUGUACUGAGAUCCAAAUGACAAAGUGAACCAGCUCUGUGGAGAUCUAUGAAGAACAUUCCAGGAAGGAGAAGCAGCAAAUGCCCCAGGAGAUGAGCAUGGUUUGUUUGAGGAACAGCAACAAAGCCACAGGAGCAUAUGGAGCCUCUGUGGACUGGGAUAAGAUGUUCCAUCGCUUCUUUUCAUAUUUCAUCUUCUAAGAACAUGUCAUUGAGGCUCUCAGAGGUGCUGGGUUCUCCCAAAUGGUGGUGGCCGCAAGCUGGAGCUGCAGUGGGGAUACUCGCUCGGCUGAUUCACCGGCAAAUCUGAACAGAGAAAUUGUUCUGUUGUGGUGCCUCUGCCAUGGGUAAAGGCAAUUCUUGUGUGAUGUGCUGGGACAGUCAAAAAAACCAUACGUGAAAGGCAUGGAACAGGAUGCAUCCCACAAAGUAAAACAACUUGCAGUUCUGAAAAACAAUCUGAGGGGUUUGAAGUGGCGGGGGGCGGGGUGGGAGGUUGGGGUACCAGUUGGUGGGUAUUAUAGAGGGCACAGAUUGCAUGGAGCACUGGGUGUGGUGAAAAAAUAAUGAAUACU